AGAGGGGACACAACCUGAGCUAGCCUGGCUACAUUGGUCAGAUCAGCACAUAUACUUCCCAGAAGCCCCUGGAGGGGAUUCCCACUCUUUGGGGUUGGGACCUGGCUCUCGGGCAGCCCUCCCAGAGCUCCAGCGCAGCAGGGGGGGGGCGUGGGGGGCGGUUUGCCCGCCCACUCGCGGGGGUGGGCGGAGGACCGCGAGAGGUGCAGCGCCAGGGGGCGCUCCCGGCCAGCCCGCGCGCUGCAGCCUCCAGGCCCCGGCUCUUUGUCCCGCGCUGCCUCUUCCAACCGAGGACCUUAAUGCCGCGAUCGCCUUUCCGCGGCUGCCUGUCUGCGCGCGCUCUCUCGCGCGCAGGGCCGAUUUUUUGAGACAGGAUCUCACUCUACUCACCAUGUAGCCUGGCUCUGAAUUUGCAAUGAUCUUCCUGCCUCAGCCUCCCAAGUGCAGGGAUGGGAUUACAGGUGUGUGCCACAAGGCCUGGAAUUUUUCUUGCAUCCUUUAUGGAAGUGGAAUGAGAACAGCCCUCUCCCUGGAGUUCAUUACCUUUCUCCAAAUCACCCUGCCAAGCCAUUCUGCAGAAAUGACUUAUCGAUUGGAGAACAAUUACCCGAGUCCCUGGUGCAUCCUGACAGGCUAAUCCUGCCCACGCCGCCAGACAGCUGCCUGCCCGCCACCCUUCCCUGAAGCCCGGAGUGGGGUCUGCCCUUCCAGGCUUGGGAGCCCACCGGCUGCCCCAGCAGGUCCCAGGUCAGGACCCGCAGGCACAUGAUCACUGUCCUCCACUGGCAUUCACACAACACCCCCGCUGGCUCUGGGGUGCUAAAGCACCCAUAGCCACCAGACACACCCUCAAGGCACCCACUGCAGGCUCAACUGAAGGUGGAGAACUUUCUGGGCCUGUCCUUCUCCCAGUUCUCUGUCUUUUACCAUUUUCUUCUUUUGAGAAAGGGUCUCACUAUGUAGUUUAGACUGGCCUUGAAUCUACUAUGUAGCCCAGGCUGGCCUUGAAUUCAUAGUAAUCCUCCUGCCUCAGCCUCCAGAGCCCUGGGAUUACAGGCCUGUGCUCUUUUCUAUCCUGCUCUUUAUUACUUUCAAGCCCUUACUAUCCUGCAAUCACCAGCUGCAGGGACAGACCCUCUCCAUCACACCCGAGGGUUCAGUGCCAGCGCCCCGCCUCCACCCCAGGGGUACAUCGCACUGUCUAGCCAAGCUCUGCCCAGGAGCGUGGUUCUGCCUGGUGGGGAGGUGGAUGCCUGUAACCCCUCCUCGCUGGGAGGCUGAGGAAAGUUCAAGCCCAGACUGGGCCACCGAGCAAGAGUGGGUCUCAAAGUAAAAACCUUUUACAAAGGGCUGGGGAUGUAAAAUAUGUGGAAUUCUGUGGCAUGCUGGGCACAUCUAGCUCCAGGAGAGGAACAUGCAUUCUGUCCCCCCCCGGCUCCCAGGCCAGUAGGUUGUGUUUCCUAGCCCCGGCCCACCUCUGGGCUUCUC